rnacentral:lncRNA from 1 species
AUCUGGAGGAUCCUCCAGGAGUGCCUGCAGUUGUCCUGGAAAUAUUUCACAUUAUAAAACUUUUGCCUCUUCCAAAGUGGCUUUUGAAGUCACCUUUUCCAACAACUCUGUUCUCCUGUGGCAAGAUAAGGGUUAAAAAGCCUUUCUACCUCAAGGAGAAAACAGUAGAUAAUCAGCCUUAUCCCCCUAAGAAACAUCCAGCUAGAGGUGAGCUGAACCUUUAUGUGAGUAAGGACUCAUUUUCUCUAAUAUAAUCAUAUGUUUGGUGAUGGAUUCAAAGAAAAUUGCCCAGUACUUCCAGGGUUAAAUCACUAAUAAUGAUGUUAGUAGUGAUCUGGCUGGCAAAGUAUAAUUCCCCUGAGAUCACUUUCUCCAAAAAAAGGCAGCAGUGUGCUGUGGUGGGUUUUGAGCAGGCAUUAUACCCCGGGUGAGGAUUAGGUGACCACUUUCUCAUCUAACCCUUUCCUGACACUUCAAGUUCAUGUGGUGUGUCAGUGAGGUGCUAAGAGGGUGACAUUCACUGUAGCCUGACCGUCUUUUGUCUUUAUUUGUCUUCUUUACUGCUUUUUGGUAACCUCAGAGAAAGAAGUUACAGGAACUAUCAGCCAGGUGACAAAUCUGCCAGCAGGCCAGGGUGAGAGCUGAAGAAUCUGAUCCAAGGGCAGCACCUGAUGCUGGCAAAGGAAAGGCUUGGAAGUCGAGGGCCCAUGGACACAGUGGACAGUCCUUUACCCAUCUGGCCCCUGGAUCAUCAGAAUAACCUAGAGUACAUUUCACCUGCUACAAGAACUUUCCUAAUUGUCCCCAGAAGUGCUAUACAACUACUCCCAGGUAUUUUUACUGAGAGGAAAUGGUGA